rfam:Fusarium fujikuroi IMI 58289 draft genome, chromosome FFTJ_chr10
GCCGGUGUGGCCUAAUGGCUAAGGCGUCUGACUGUAAGUUGCUAAGUCCUUAAGUUCGAUCCCUGAGAAUAUACUAAUGAGAAAAUUAGUCUAAGAAGAUUAUCAGAAGACUGCGGGUUCGAAUCCCGCCAUUGGUU